rnacentral:misc_RNA from 1 species
UCCCAUAGUACACAGUCUUGCAACCUCACAAUUGAGUCAAUGAAUACUAGCUAUAGGACUAACAUUGAUUGUUAUGUAUUUACCAACGUCACCACAGCAGUUCCAAUCACAUACAUUGACACACGACAUAUUCAAAUACCUGCUGGCUUAUGUUUAUCUGACCCCACUUAUAAUAUACCUUCUAAGGUCGAUAUUCUUAUCGGGGCGGAUAUCUUCUGGGAUAUUCUAGGUAACAAAAGGAUUAGCCUAGGCAAGCAUCAACCUAUUUUACGUAGUUCGGAGCUAGGAUGGAUAGUCACUGGUCACAUCUCGAGUCCGAAAGAUACGUUCAGUCAAUGUCUUCUUACUCAAGGUCAACUUGAUAUUGAUCUCACUCGUUUUUGGGAAGUAGAUAGUGUUUCUCUUGAGCAUUCUCAAUCCGCGGAGGAACGUGCAUGUGAGAAGAGUUUUACCGUUAACACUACUCGAAAUAACGAUGGUCGCUUUGUCGUCACCAUUCCUCUCAAGCAAGAUCCGCAGGUCUUAGGCGAUUCCUUUGAGAUGGCGAAGCGACGGUUUUUAUCGCUGGAACGAAAAUUUGAACGAGAACCAAUAUUCAAGGAGAAAUAUUUGAGCUUCAUGAAGGAAUACGAGCAAUUAGGCCACAUGACUGAAAAUAAAGUUCUUUUUCCAUACAGUGACAAUGUCAACUACUACCUUCCUCAUCAUGGCGUACUUCGGGAGUCAAGCACGACGACAAAGUUGCGUACCGUCUUCGACGCUUCUGCCGUCACCACUUCAGGAAUUUCCUUCAAUGAAAUUCAGAUGGUCGGUCCUACAGUCCAAGACGAUCUUUUAUCGAUUCUCCUCAGAUUCCGCCAACAUAAAAUUGUAGUAUCGGCAGACGUUGAAAAAAUGUUUAGAUCUAUCAAUGUUGUUCCUAGUCAACGCUCCUUACAGCAAAUUGUAUUUAGGUUUGAUCCAUCGCAUCGUUUAAAGACUUAUACACUAAAUACAGUUUGUCAAGGAACCGCUUCAGCGCCAUACCUUGCGACAAAGUGUCUGAGUAGCCUGGCAUCCACAGUCAGCGAUAAUAGCGUCAAAUAUAGUAUAGCUCACGAUUUUUAUUGUGACGAUUUGUUAAGUGGGGCCAGUACUGUGAGCGAGGCGAUAGAUUUAUGUAAAGGAAUAACAGCCACCUUAAACUCGGCAAAAUUUAAUAUUCGCAAGUGGAAAUCGAAUAACACAUUAGUUAUUAACCCUUAUGUGAGUGACGAAUAAAACACCUUUAUUAGAGUGACGAGGUACCCGGGUACCUUCAUACAGUUUAGACGUAAUGUAAACAAUCAAGGUCUGUUUUAAAAUUACCCUCAUUUUGAAUAUUGUUAUUUUAGUUAAGCUAAACAGUUGACGAUCGGACAAGCACAAGAAACACUUGAGUCCAUUCAAUACAUUGUGUUUGAUCUCUUGGCUAAAUUGAAAAAUUCAGGACUAAAUGUAACUACGGAUAAUUUUUUUAUAUCUCUUCAACUGGUUCAUUCCUUGAAUUUGUGGAACAUGACACCUAGUUGGGACGGUAAAAAAAAAUAAACGGUUUCUUCCUCUAAAUAUGCAAGCACACAAGGAGAGGGUGAUUUAUGCUUCUAACUUCGCCUUUAGCAAAGAAGCAACUGUGUGCUCCUAUGUACCCAAAAUGAAUAAAGCAGUAAUAAUGUUGUCAUCAAUGCACAUGUCACCAGUUAUUGAAAGUGAUAAGGAAACUGCCAAGCCAGAAAUAAUUUUAUAAUACCUAUAACAAAAUCAAAAGUGGAGUGGACAAUAUGGAUAAGUUGUUAGCAGAAUACACCGUAAAACACAGAACGAAUCGGUGGACUUUUUUUACAUUAUUAUUGACAUUGCAGCUUUGGCAAAUGAUAUAUGCUCCUGCAAUAACAAUAGCUGCAAUAGCUUUGGCAGCACAUAUCAUUUACAUGGAACGUAACACACAAUUUGUCUCGAGUGACAGACGUAGAAAGUUUUUGAAAUCAUUAUGUCUACAACAGUGUGGUAAAAAUAUAGAAGAAAGAUCAAAAAAAUCCAUUGUGACAUGAAAAUCACAUGUAAGAUCUGCAAUGCAGGUGCUUGGGCAAGAACUUAGGCUUUCGAUUCCUUCUGGAUCUACAACUUCUAUAAGUCGGACCAGACGAGAUUCUACAGAGCGUGUUGCAGUCUUAGGAAGUUGCUACAUAUGCAGAGAACUCAAACGCAAGCCAAGAAAAUCACGAAAAGCUUGCACUAACUGUAAAAAAUCAGUUUGUGAUGAACAUGCAGUAACUCGUCCAACUCCUGCUUCGAGAGAUGUACCUACAAGUUCUGCAUAAACAAAGAAUUUGUUAUUUUUAUGGAAAUAAAACAUCAUAAUAAUACCAUUUUAUAAAGAGGUACCCGGGUACCUUGUCACUCCAUUGUGAGUUUAUAUUAUGUUUUGGUUUCCACAAAACAUUAUAAAUAGCUGAUUGGGUUAAAAUAUUAAAAAAUAUAUAAUUUAUAAAUAGUUAAGAGCUCUCAGGAAAUCACAGCCACCUACGGAGCAUAAAACAUACUUUUCUUUAAAUUUGAAAAUGCUAAAGGUACCCGGGUACCUCGUCACUCACAUAAGGGUUAAAGAGCUAUUUUUAGGUCAAGUUAUCGAUUCAAAUACAGUUUUAGAUCUAUCAGAAAACAAUUUAAACACAACAUCAAAAACGUUAGGUUUGUAUUGGCUUUGUCAGCAGGAUACCUUAUCUUUUUCAAUUAAUAUUGAACUUCAUGAGAAGGUUACCAAGCGCCAUAUACUUUCAGUUAUAAGCCAAAUAUUCGACCCAUUAGGCCUUGUUGGGCCAUGCGUUGUCGAAGCCAAGUUAAUUAUGCAAAAAUUAUGGGUCAAUAAAUGCUCUUGGGACGAAGAAGUGCCGUCAGAUAUAUUACAGCUCUGGUCUUCUUUUGCUAACACAUUACCCUGUCUUAAUAAGUUACAAAUACCUCGUUGGAUUCUUAGUGAUCUUUGUGUAAACAUUGAAAUCCAUGUAUUCACAGAUGCUUCGCAAAGUGCGUAUGGUGCAUGCGUCUAUAUCAGGUCUGUGUGUAACUCAGGGAUUGUGCGUGUUCAGCUCUUAGUAUCAAAAAACAAGAUUGCGCCGAUUAAACCCACAACUAUCCCACGUCUUGAGCUAUGUGGGGCCUUAUUAGGUGCAAGACUGUGUACAAAGGUGCAAACCUCACUUAAGUUAAACAUAACCAUGUGUCGCUUUUGGUGCGAUUCCACGAUCGUGUUAGGGUGGUUGUCAACCCCUUCAGUUCAACUUAAUCAAUUUGUACGUAAUCGUGUUAAUGAAAUCAAGGAAAGCACUAGUGGUCACACGUGGAGCUACGUGCCGUCCAAGGAGAACCCGGCAGAUCUCGUUUCUCGCGGGGUGAGGGCUGAUGUGAUCAGCGACGCCUCGUUGUGGUGGUCGGGCCCGUCGUUUCUACUCAAAUCAGAGCAUAGUUGGCCACAAAUGCCUAAUGAGACCCAGAAACGUGACCUACCGGAUCUCCAACCUUGUCUUAUUAUAAAUAACAACGUUAACAAAAACGACGAUGAUAAUAAACUAUUUACAAAACUUAUACUUAAAUAUUCACAAUUUACACGUUUACAAAGAGUUAUAGCCUAUAUAUACAGAUUUAUUCAUAACUGUAAAACUAAAACAAACAGAUUUCGCGAUCAUCUUUCUUGUGAAGAAUUGCAGCGGUCAUUUAAUUUUAUUAUACAUAUUGCUCAGUUAGAAAUGUUCCCUAAUGAAUAUCUUAUCUUAAAAUCGGGUCAUUCAUUGUCGAAGAAAAAUAAAUUAAUAUCAUUGACCCCAUUCAUCGAUUCAAAUAAUAUCAUGAGAGUAGGCGGUAGACUUGAUAACUCACCUUAUAGCUAUGACACAAAACACCCCAUUUUAUUAUGUGGAAAACAUCAUUUAACAAAAAUUAUAUUUCACAUGCAUCACUUGAAACUUCUACAUGCUGGACCUCAGUUAUUGCUGUCUAGUAUUCGUCAAACUUAUUGGCCUUUGGGAGGAAGGAAUCUGUCUAAAUUUAUAACAAGAAGUUGCAUAAAAUGUUUCAGAUUUAAAGCCACCAAUGUCCAGCCCAUUAUGGGACAGUUACCUGAAUCCAGAACUAAACUGGAAUUUCCUUUUUUACAUUGUUCUGUGGAUUAUGCUGGCCCGAUCAUGAUAGCCAACCGUAAAGGUCGAGGUUGCCAACUGAUAAAAUCUUACUUGUCCAUUUUUGUCUGCUUAGCUACAAGGGCCGUGCACUUGGAACUCGUCACAGAUUUGACUAAAGAGGGAUACAUGGCCGCUUUAAAUCGGUUUGUGGCUCGUCGGGGAAAGCCUCAAAGUAUAACCUCAGACAACGGGACAAAUUUUGUAGAAACUGGUUGUUGAACCAGCAGCCUUCCUGUCUACUUCAACCCGGGGAGUAUGUUGGUGACAAACAACGCACACAUCAUCGCAUCGUGGGCCACCGCGACGACCGUGCGGGGAUCGGGGGACGAGGCGCCGCGAGUAGCCGUCGCCCACGCAGCAACGCACCACCACCAGUCUCACAUAUGACACGGACCAUAGGCGCGCGUUCUUACAAUCCAAUAUACGAACCUACCAUAGAAUACA